rnacentral:rRNA from 1 species
GACAGAGGGUGCAAACGUUGUUCGGAAUUACUGGGCGUAAAGCGCGUGUAGGCGGCUUUGCAAGUCGGAAGUGAAAUCCCACGGCUCAACCAUGGAAGUGCUUUCGAAACUGCUGAGCUUGAGUACGAAAGAGGAUCGCGGAAUUCCCGGUGUAGAGGUGAAAUGCGUAGAUAUCUGGAGGAACACCGGUGGCGAAGGCGGCAUCCUGGACCAAUACUGACGCUGAGGAGCGAAAGCCAGGGGAGCAAACGGG